rnacentral:misc_RNA from 1 species
AACAUUUCCCAUCCCCUUUCUUUUAAGUCCUACAGAAUGGGACAGUGUAUCCAAUUCCAUACAAAUUGAAGCAGUGCAUCAGGCCAAUUAUAGCAGUAACUUCAACGCGUAUCCAAAUUGAUACAUGACAAUAUGAAGUUCACCAUACAAAUUGACGCAGCUGCUAAACUGAUAAAUUCCCAGCAAUGCCAGAGUAACUUCCUUCGGAUUGUUUAUUGACAAUUUAUAAAGCUCAGGACUCCAGUAUUCAUACAUACCAAUUCCCAAGAUAUCUAAAUAUUCUAAUAUUACAAAAGAUAAGCAGCACGCGAGAGAGAGAGAGAGAGAGA